UGCAGUCGAGGGGUAGUUGGAGCUUGCUCCGAUGAGACCGGCGCACGGGUGCGUAACGCGUAUGCAACCUACCUUCAUCAGGGGGAUAGCCCGGAGAAAUCCGGAUUAACACCGCAUAACAUCAUUUCAUAGCAUUAUGGGAUGAUCAAACAUUUAUGGGAUGGAGAUGGGCGUGCGUGCCAUUAGCUAGUUGGCGGGGUAAGGGCCCACCAAGGCUACGAUGGCUAGGGGAUCUGAGAGGAUGGCCCCCCACACUGGUACUGAGACACGGACCAGACUCCUACGGGAGGCAGCAGUAAGGAAUAUUGGUCAAUGGGGGCAACCCUGAACCAGCCAUGCCGCGUGCAGGAAGACUGCCCUACGGGUUGUAAACUGCUUUUAUCCGGGAAUAAACCUUUCUACGUGUAGAGAGCUGAAUGUACCGGAAGAAUAAGGAUCGGCUAACUCCGUGCCAGCAGCCGCGGUAAUACGGAGGAUCCAAGCGUUAUCCGGAUUUAUUGGGUUUAAAGGGUGCGUAGGCGGCCUGUUAAGUCAGGGGUGAAAGACGGUAGCUCAACUAUCGCAGUGCCCUUGAUACUGAUGGGCUUGAAUGGACUAGAGGUAGGCGGAAUGAGACAAGUAGCGGUGAAAUGCAUAGAUAUGUCUCAGAACACCGAUUGCGAAGGCAGCUUACUAUGGUUCUAUUGACGCUGAGGCACGAAAGCGGGGGGAUCGAACAGGAUUAGAUACCCUGGUAGUCCACGCCCUAAACGAUGAACACUC
rnacentral:rRNA from 1 species